UAGAUGGAAUGUUAUUUAUGUUUUGAAAAACUGCAUACGAUAUCCAUCAUAGCGCCGCAAAGAUGAGCAACUGUUCUAUAAAACCCAAUAAAGAAGUGGAAGGAAGUUCGAUACCAGAGCUGAAGUUCAGUCCAGCGUGAAUGGUACGUCGCAGCAAGAAACAAAAUGCCGAAGAGAAAAAACAGAAAAUGGCAAAGACCCCACGGAACGUCAGAAUAAUCCUUGGGCAUCAUAUUGCAGCUUUCUAACCACCAGGACCCGAGCACGGCAGCAUAAAAUAACCGGGCGCAAAAUCUUGCGAAUGCUCUACAGUAUGCGGAGCCUUCGAACUCUUCCCAUUUCUGUCAUAGAAGCCAUCAAUCGUUUUGUUGAAAUGUGCAAU
ensembl:ncRNA lncRNA:CR44804 long non-coding RNA:CR44804